rnacentral:rRNA from 1 species
GACGAACGCUGGCGGCGUGCUUAACACAUGCAAGUCGAACGGAAAGGCCCUGCUUUUGCGGGGUGCUCGAGUGGCGAACGGGUGAGUAACACGUGAGUAACCUGCCCUUGACUUUGGGAUAACUUCAGGAAACUGGGGCUAAUACCGGAUAGGAGCUCCUGCUGCAUGGUGGGGGUUGGAAAGUUUCGGCGGUUGGGGAUGGACUCGCGGCUUAUCAGCUUGUUGGUGGGGUAGUGGCUUACCAAGGCUUUGAAGGGUAGCCGGCCUGAGAGGUUGACCGGCCACAUUGGGACUGAGAUACGGCCCAGACGCCUACGGGAGGCAGCAGUGGGGAAUAUUGCACAAUGGGCGGAAGCCUGAUGCAGCAACGCCGCGUGCGGGAUGACGGCCUUCGGGUUGUAAACCGCUUUCGCCUGUGACGAAGCGUGAGUGACGGUAAUGGGUAAAGAAGCACCGGCUAACUACGUG